rnacentral:misc_RNA from 1 species
GAAGUAAAAGUCGUAACAAGGUCUCCGUUGGUGAACCAGCGGAGGGAUCAUUACAGAGUUGCAAAACUCCCACAAACCAUCGCGAAUCUUACCCGUACGGUUGCCUCGGCGCUGGCGGUCCGGAAGGCCCUCGGGCCCCCGGAUCCUCGGGUCUCCCGCUCGCGGGAGGCUGCCCGCCGGAGUGCCGAAACCAAACUCUUGAUAUUUUAUGUUUCUCUGAGUAAACUUUUAAAUAAGUCAAAACUUUCAACAACGGAUCUCUUGGUUCUGGCAUCGAUGAAGAACGCAGCGAAAUGCGAUAAGUAAUGUGAAUUGCAGAAUUCAGUGAAUCAUCGAAUCUUUGAACGCACAUUGCGCUCGCCAGUAUUCUGGCGAGCAUGCCUGUUCGAGCGUCAUUUCAACCAUCAAGCUCUGCUUGCGUUGGGGAUCCGCGUCUGACGCGGUCCCUCAAAAACAGUGGCGGGCUCGCUAGUCACACCGAGCGUAGUAACUCUACAUCGCUAUGGUCGUGCGGCGGGUUCUUGCCGUAAAACCCCCAAUUUCUAAGGUUGACCUCGGAUCAGGUAGGAAUACCCGCUGAACCUAAGCAUAUCAAUAAGCGGAGG